rnacentral:ncRNA from 1 species
CGGCCACGGCGAGAACUCGGGCGUCGGCCUUGCCGGUCGCUGCCCUUACUUUGAAGAAAUGAGACCAGCAGGGGCAUCCGGGCUGGUACCCGGACUACCUGCGAGACCCUUGGUGGCUGUGUUCGAGUCGCUGCACCGGACUUGUUCAGGCCCGCCGUGGCUCGCGCAGGUGGUGGCCCCUAACCGAGGGUGACCA